rnacentral:rRNA from 1 species
CCGAAAUGAGGGGGAUAGCCUGCCUAACGGCUGGGUAAUACCGCAUACGCUCGAGGAGAGGCAUUUCAUCUCGAGGAAACCUCCGGGGCAUUUCGAGGGGCUCGCGGCCUAUCAGCUAGUUGGUGAGGUAACGGCUCACCAAGGCGACGACGGGUAGCUGGUCUGAGAGGAUGGCCAGCCACAUUGGGACUGAGAUACGGCCCAGACUCCUACGGGAGGCAGCAGUGGGGAAUCUUGCGCAAUGGCCUAACGGCUGACGCAGCGACGCCGCGUGAGGGAUGACGCUCUUCGGAGUGUAAACCUCUUUUGCCUGAGACGAAUUGUCAGCUUUAGCUGAUUUGACUGUAUCGGGUGAAUAAGCACCGGCUAACUCCGUGCCAGCAGCCGCGGUAAUACGGGGGGUGCGAGCGUUGUCCGGAAUCACUGGGCGUAAAGGGCGCGUAGGUGGCCUGAUAAGGGUGUGGUGAAAGUCCGGGGCUCAACCCCGGAUCUGCCGUGCCGACUGUCAGGCUGGAGUACUGUAGGGGCAGGCGGAAUUCCGGGUGUAGCGGUGGAAUGCGUAGAGAUCCGGAGGAAGACCGGUGGCGAAGGCGGCCUGCUGGGCAGUUACUGACACUGAGGCGCGACAGCGUGGGGAGCAAACAGGAUUAGAUACCCUGGUAGUCCACGCCGUAAACGAUGGGUACUAGGUGCCUGGGGGAGCGACCCCUUGGGUGCCGGCGCUAACGCAGGAAGUACCCCGCCUGGGGAGUACGGCCGCAAGGCUGAAACUCAAAGGAAUUGACGGAAUCGA